rnacentral:rRNA from 1 species
UGGGGAAUAUUGGACAAUGGGGGAAACCCUGAUCCAGCCAUGCCGCGUGAGUGAUGAAGGCCUUCGGGUUGUAAAGCUCUUUUGUCAGGGACGAUAAUGACGGUACCUGAAGAAUAAGCCCCGGCUAACUUCGUGCCAGCAGCCGCGGUAAUACGAAGGGGGCUAGCGUUGUUCGGAUUUACUGGGCGUAAAGGGCGCGUAGGCGGUUCUUUAAGUCAGAAGUGAAAGCCCUGGGCUCAACCCGGGAAUUGCUUUUGAAACUAUUGAGCUUGAGUAUGAGAGAGGUAAGUGGAAUACCCAGUGUAGAGGUAAAAUUCGUAGAUAUUGGGUGGAACACCAGUGGCGAAGGCGGCUUACUGGCUCAUUACUGACGCUGAGGCGCGAAAGCGUGGGGAGCAAA